AUUGAACGCUGGCGGCAUGCCUUACACAUGCAAGUCGAACGGCAGCACGGACUUCGGUCUGGUGGCGAGUGGCGAACGGGUGAGUAAUGUAUCGGAACGUACCUUUCAGUGGGGGAUAACGUAGCGAAAGUUACGCUAAUACCGCAUAUUCUGUGAGCAGGAAAGCGGGGAUCGCAAGACCUUGCGCUGAUUGAGCGGCCGAUAUCAGAUUAGCUAGUUGUGGGUAAGGCUACCAAGGCUACGAUCUGUAGCGGGUCUGAGAGGAUGAUCCGCCACACUGGAACUGAGACACGGUCCAGACUCCUACGGGAGGCAGCAGUGGGGAAUUUUGGACAAUGGGGGCAACCCUGAUCCAGCCAUGCCGCGUGAGUGAAGAAGGCCUCGG
rnacentral:rRNA from 1 species